CAGCAGCCGCGGUAAUACGUAGGGCGCAAGCGUUGUCCGGAAUUAUUGGGCGUAAAGAGCUCGUAGGCGGUCUGUCGCGUCUGGUGUGAAAUCCCGAGGCUCAACCUCGGGCUUGCAUCGGGUACGGGCAGACUAGAGUGCGGUAGGGGAGACUGGAAUUCCUGGUGUAGCGGUGGAAUGCGCAGAUAUCAGGAGGAACACCGAUGGCGAAGGCAGGUCUCUGGGCCGCAACUGACGCUGAGGAGCGAAAGCAUGGGGAGCGAACAGGAUUAGAGACCCCCGUAGUCCCUGUCUCUUAUAC
rnacentral:rRNA from 1 species